GCGCUGUGCGGUGUGCAUAGAGCGAACUAUUCUUUCGCUUUUUACUAAAGAAUACCGUGUGCGUGCACAUUUAGUGGCAUACACCAAUUUGGUGAAGGGAUUUCUCUCACAAGAGAACC